rnacentral:rRNA from 1 species
AUUGAACGCUGGCGGCAUGCUUUACACAUGCAAGUCGAACGGUAACAGGCCGCAAGGUGCUGACGAGUGGCGCACGGGUGAGUAAUGCAUCGGAACGUGCCCAGUCGUGGGGGAUAACUACUCUAAAGAGUAGCUAAUACCGCAUACGAUCUAUGGAUGAAAGCGGGGGACCGUAAGGCCUCGCGCGAUUGGAGCGGCCGAUGUCAGAUUAGGUAGUUGGUGGGGUAAAGGCUCACCAAGCCAACGAUCUGUAGCUGGUCUGAGAGGACGACCAGCCACACUGGGACUGAGACACGGCCCAGACUCCUAAGGGAGGCAGCAGUGGGGAAUGUUGGACAAUGGGCGCAAGCCUGAUCCAGCAAUGCCGCGUGCAGGAAGAAGGCCUUCGGGUUGUAAACUGCUUUUGUACGGAACGAAACGGCUCUGGUUAAUACCCGGGGCUAAUGACGGUACCGUAAGAAUAAGCACCGGCUAACUACGUG